rnacentral:tRNA from 1 species
AGGAAUUUAGGCUAAUUUAGACCAAGGACCUUCAAAGUCCUAAGCAAGUAUCUAAUACUUAAUUCCUG